UACGAAGGGGGCUAGCGUUGCUCGGAAUUACUGGGCGUAAAGGGCGCGUAGGCGGACAGUUUAGUCAGAGGUGAAAGCCCAGGGCUCAACCUUGGAAUUGCCUUUGAGACUGAGUGGCUUGAGUACGAGAGAGGUGAGUGGAAUUCCCAGUGUAGAGGUGAAAUUCGUAGAUAUUGGGAAGAACACCGGUGGCGAAGGCGGCUCACUGGCUCGUAACUGACGCUCAUGCACGACAGCGUGGGGAUCAAACAGG
rnacentral:rRNA from 1 species